rnacentral:rRNA from 1 species
GACGAACGCUGACGGUGUGCUUUAGACAUGCAAGUCGAACGAGAAAGCCCUUCGGGGUGAGUAAAGUGGCGAACGGGUGAGUAACACGUGGGCAACCUGCCCCUCGCGGGGGGACAACCGGAGGAACUCCGGCUAAUACCCGUACGCUUACGGGAUCGCAUGAUCCCAUAAGGAAGGUAGCUUCGGCCAACCGGCGAGGAGUGGGCCCGCGGUACAUUAGCUAGUUGGUGGGGUAACGGCCCACCAAGGCGACGAUGUAAGUCUGGUCUGAGAGGAUGAUCA